rnacentral:rRNA from 1 species
GCGUGUGUGAAGAAGGCCUUCGGGUUGUAAAGCACUUUCAGUCGUGAGGAAGGUAGUGUAGUUAAUAGCUGCAUUAUUUGACGUUAGCGACAGAAGAAGCACCGGCUAACUCCGUGCCAGCAGCCGCGGUAAUACGGAGGGUGCGAGCGUUAAUCGGAAUUACUGGGCGUAAAGCGCAUGCAGGUGGUUUGUUAAGUCAGAUGUGAAAGCCCGGGGCUCAACCUCGGAAUUGCAUUUGAAACUGGCAGACUAGAGUACUGUAGAGGGGGGUAGAAUUUCAGGUGUAGCGGUGAAAUGCGUAGAGAUCUGAAGGAAUACCGGUGGCGAAGGCGGCCCCCUGGACAGAUACUGACACUCAGAUGCGAAAGCGUGGGGAGCAAAACAGGAUUAGAUACCCUGGUAGUCCACGCCGUAAACGAUGUCUACUUGGAGGUUGUGGCCUUGAGCCGUGGCUUUCGGAGCUAACCCGCUAAGUAGACCGCCUGGGGAGUACGGUCGCAAGAUUAAAACUCAAAUGAAUUGACGGGGGCCCGCACAAGCGGUGGAGCAUGUGGUUUAAUUCGAUGCAACGCGAAGAACCUUACCUACUCUUGACAUCCAGAGAACUUUUCAGAGAUGAGAUUGGUGCCUUCGGGAACUCUGAACAGGUGCUGCAUGGCUGUCGUCAGCUCGUGUUGUGAAAUGUUGGGGUUAAGUCCCCGCAAC